AAAUCAACAAGGAUGAUGAUGUGCUUCGUGCCUUAAAUAAGCCAUGGCCAUUUCGUAAGUUGGCGGAUCAUCGUCCUCUUUUCUCGUCCUGAAUAGAACGUUCGAUAAAUCUGAGACUUGUUGCAGGUCAAUAGAUGCUGUGACGUCAUGUCCGUUAGUAUCGUGACCGUGGCCGCCAUGUUGCGUCGUCCCUGUUGUGGUGAAAGAAAAGAGUAAUCCUCCGGUGAAAGAGUUGCGUGGAAUAAAACGAUUCGAAGAUAACCGUUAAUCGCGCCAAUCAGCUCCUUGCCCUACGUCACAAGCCUACAGGUGCUUAGGGACUCUUUGUUUUUGUUUUGAACCGACAUCACGUUGGCGAUAACAAACGGAAAUAAAACAAUUUGUUCCUCUUUCCGAAUCCAAAACAAAUGGUCCCGUGACGUAACGCUGACAUCUCUCCGAGCAACAGAUUAUUUUGUUUUUCGUACAAACUACAAAUGGUUAGCCGGUUCUUGUAGAGGAUCAUUCUUUAUGGCCUCGUCGUAACUCGGCGGAGGUAAUUCUUCCCAUUUGUAUUCCGGUGGAGGUGCGUUGUUGGCCCUUGCUCCGUCUAGUGUUAUGACGAAGACGUUGCCAUUAGCUGACGCAGUUGGUGAGCGACUUCCCGGACGACCACCUUGCUGAUUACGAGACUGAACGGACGUCGAGGCGUUGGCUUCACGCUGUUGGAGUUUGUUGCGUCGACCGCACGCACACAGCAGAAUGCUAAGCAUCAAGACACCGAAAACUAUGGCUAUCACCGUAAUCUCUACAGAAGGCAUAUUGUGUUGCAACCUGAAAAGGAUAGAGUGUUGUACAUUACCCCCACAAAAUUGCCAAUUCAACGUGACCGUGUUGGCACGUUUCCCUGCUAUGACAUAACCAUUAUCUUUUCACGAUCGCUUUCGUCGUUUAAAACUAAUCAAGUUGACAACAGCAAACGAUAGUCAACAUGCAUGAUGGUAACAGGAAGGAAAAGAUUUGAAUGCUGACGGAAA